rnacentral:rRNA from 1 species
AGCAGCCGCGGUAAUUCCAGCUCCAAUAGCGUAUAUUAAAGUUGUUGCAGUUAAAAAAGCUCGUAGUUGAAUUUCGGGAUCAAUAUGUUGGUCGUGCCUCGGUACGUACUAGCUUAUUGGUUUCUCCUUUCUGAAGAACCAUGAUGUCAUUUAUUUGGUGUCGUGGGGAAUCAGGACUGUUACUUUGAAAAAUUAGAGUGUUUAAAGCAGGCUCACGCUUGAAUACAUUAGCAUGGAAUAAUGAAAUAGGACGUUUGAUUCUAUUUUGUUGGUUUCUAGGAUCGACGUAAUGAUUAAUAGGGAUAGUUGGGGGCAUUAGUAUUCAAUUGUCAGAGGUGAAAUUCUUGGAUUUAUUGAAGACUAACUACUGCGGAAGCAUUUGCCAAGGAUGUUUUCAUUAAUCAAGAACGAAAGUUAGGGGAUCGAAGACGAUCAGAUACCGUCGUAGUACUUAACCAUAAACUAUGCCGACUAGGAUCGGAUGAUGUUAAUUUUUAAUGUACUCG